rnacentral:rRNA from 1 species
GACGAACGCUGGCGGCGCGCCUAACACAUGCAAGUCGAACGAGCGAGAGAGAGCUUGCUUUCUCGAGCGAGUGGCGAACGGGUGAGUAACGCGUGAGGAACCUGCCUCAAAGAGGGGGACAACAGUUGGAAACGACUGCUAAGACCGCAUAGGUACGGACACUGCAUGGUGACCGUAUUAAAAGUGCCUCAAAGCACUGGUAGAGGAUGGACUUAUGGCGCAUUAGCUGGUUGGCGGGGUAACGGCCCACCAAGGCGACGAUGCGUAGCCGACCUGAGAGGGUGACCGGCCACACUGGGACUGAGACACGGCCCAG